AAUCAACGCUGGCGGCGUGCCUCAGACAUGCAAGUCGAACGAUUAAAGCUCUCUUCGGAGAGUGCAUAGAGUGGCGCACGGGUGAGUAACACGUAAGCAAUCUACCUUGAGUGGGGAAUAACGUCCGGAAACGGACGCUAAUACCGCAUAAUGCAGCGGCAUCGCAAGAUGACAGUUGUUAAAGAUUUAUCGCUUGAAGAGGAGCUUGCGGCAGAUUAGCUAGUUGGUAAGUAAUGGCUUACCAAGGCUACGAUCUGUAACCGGUCUAAGAGGACGGUCGGUCACACUGACACUGAAUAACGGGUCAGACUCCUACGGGAGCAGCAGUCGGAAUAUGGUCAAUGGACGNAAGUCUGAACCAGCCAUGCCGNGUGAAGGAUGAAGGCCCUCUGGGUUGUAAACUUCUUUAUCGUGGGAAAGAAGGCAUUCUUAUAGAGUGUUUGACGGUACCAGAGGAAU
rnacentral:rRNA from 1 species